AUACAGAUGCGUACUGGCUGUUGUGCAUACAGAUGCGUACUGACUGUCGUGCAAGCAAGAACAUUCCGCAAGGCACAGGGAGCGACGGCUCUGGUCCGCUUGCCUUUCCUGAUGACCUGUCAUCUCCCUGCAGACGCAACAAUAACAACGCACUCCAUUAAGAGGGAGGGAGGAGGCUGUGCAUGCCCUUUACUAACACCACUACGACACAUCCCGGACAGAUUUACUUACACUGCCGGCAACUGGUCUGCUUCAAGGAGCUGAGGUGCGGGAGGUCCCUCUGCCCCCCCUGGACAUUGAGGGGGCCCCGGCGUACACAAUGCGAUCCAUACUGGAUUCCAAGCGUCGGGUGAGGGGCCUGCAGUACCUCGUGGAUUUGGAGGGGUACGGUCCGGAGGAGAGAUGCUGGGUGCAGGUGGAGGACGUCUUGGACCCAUCUCUGCUGAGUGAGUUUCACCGCCUCCAUCCGGAUCGCCCUGCGCCUCGUCCUCCGGAUCGUCCUCGGGGCCGGUGUCGGCGCGCUGCGGGAGCCACGCGUCAGGGGAGGGUACUGUCACGACUUCCACCGAAGGUGGCUCCUCUCCCUGUUCGGGCGGUGCUCGGCGGACGUCGUCGCCGGCCUUCUAGCUGCCACCGAUCCAUUUUUCCUUUUCGUUUGUGUCUGUCUGUAUUGUUUACACCUGUGUCCUAUUAGUUGAUUACGGUGGGUUUAUUUACCUCCGCUGCCUGCUAGUCUUUGUGCAGGAUUGUUUGCUGUGGUUUCUUUGUUAGGGGUGUGUGUCUGCACCACGGGUUUUCUUUCUCACGGCAGUUGUACCGUUUUGGUAUGUGUUAAGGAGUAUAAACCCUGUGUGUAGCGUUUAUUUUCCCUGUGUGUGGCGACCUCGUUUGGCCGUAUUUCCCCCCCAUGUUGUUGUUGAGUUGGGACUUCUAAUAAACUAUUGUGCCACUGGGAUUUCCUUGCUCUCCUGCUCCUGAUUCCUGCAUCUCCCUCCUUCAAGGAGGCACGUAACAGUCUUGAUAACUCCUAUGGACAGUAACCAUAGGUGUUGGUAUAAUCGGUGUCAGUGUGCUAGCUUAGCAUGUAGCGCUGCCUCCCUGAACCUACCUCUGACUGGGCUUGAACCAGACUGCCCGUGCAAACCGCCUGAGCUAUA